UACGUAGGGUGCAAGCGUUAAUCGGAAUUACUGGGCGUAAAGCGUGCGCAGGCGGUUUGUAAGUCUGUUGUGAAAUCCCCGGGCUCAACCUGGGAAUGGCAAUGGAGACUGCAAGGCUAGAGUUUGGCAGAGGGGGGGUAGAAUUCCACGUGUAGCAGUGAAAUGCGUAGAUAUGUGGAGGAACACCGAUGGCGAAGGCACCCCCCUGGGUCAAAACUGACGCUCAUGCACGAAAAGCGUGGGGGAGCAAACAGG
rnacentral:rRNA from 1 species